rnacentral:rRNA from 1 species
AUUGAACGCUGGCGGCAUGCUUUACACAUGCAAGUCGAACGGCAGCGGGGGCUUCGGCCUGCCGGCGAGUGGCGAACGGGUGAGUAAUGCAUCGGAACGUACCCAGUCAUGGGGGAUAACUACGCGAAAGCGUAGCUAAUACCGCAUACGCCCUGAGGGGGAAAGCGGGGGAUCGCAAGACCUCGCGUGAUUGGAGCGGCCGAUGUCGGAUUAGCUAGUUGGUGGGGUAAAGGCCUACCAAGGCGACGAUCCGUAGCGGGUCUGAGAGGAUGAUCCGCCACACUGGGACUGAGACACGGCCCAGACUCCUACGGGAGGCAGCAGUGGGGAAUUUUGGACAAUGGGCGCAAGCCUGAUCCAGCCAUGCCGCGUGUCUGAAGAAGGCCU